rnacentral:lncRNA from 1 species
AGGAGCCUGCCCUCUUGAGCUCUUGUGGUGACCUGGGAAUCAAUGUGUGAGGUGGUGCUAUGUAGCAGGAACCCCUCUUGCUUUGCAAAUAGUUUUUUGUUUGUUUUCCUUUUUGCCCAAUAGAGCCCUGCUCUACUGACCCUUCAAUGUGCCCGUGUGCCUAAAUAUUCCUGGUCGUGUGAAAAGAACCCAGGUAUUAGCUGAACUAAGGAGCACAAUUCUGCAACAUUUUGGCACCCAAACACGGGGCUUGAGAAAUGAAUGCAAUUGGAGAAACUGGUUGUUUUACCAGGCGUUGAUUGGAAAUGUGUGCUUCCCUUUAAGCAGUCAAGCUCAACUUGCAGAACUGAUGGGAACCCCUUGGGAAAACUGGCCUCAAAUGUUUGUCUACACAGUCCACAUACAGGGUUCUUAACCUGCGAUGAGGGAAACUUCCCAGGGCUUGUCUGGGUAUGCCCACAGUGGACUGGAGCCCAAAAUGCACACUGGAGGAAGUGGAUGGAGCCACGUGGAUGUCAUGCCUUAUGCAGGGGAGGAGCCUGCUCUCUUCAGCUCCUGUGGUAAUGUGGGAAUCGAUCUGUGAGGAAACACUUUCUGAAAAUGUCAGAACUCUUGAAAACAUGGAUGAGGAAAAGCAUAAGUACUGCUUUAUGCUUUUCUUAUGAAUUUUAAAAGAUGUAAUUUAAAGAUUGAAACUCCCACAACUUUGGCAGACCAACUCCUCAGAAAACAUUAUUCUUUGACAUCAAUAUGUUUUGCACAAAAUUGAAUGGCAAGUGAAAGGCAUCAAAUGGUGAGAAUCUAGAAAAUAGUGCAUGUACGGGAAGGCUUUGCUCAAUACAAAUCACUUGCAUGGGACAGUCUUCUUUAGUGAGUUUAUUAUAUACGGGAACAGAGAGGUAAUAUGAAAUGGAAUAUGGAAUAUGGCACUAGCAAGCACAAAUAUUCAAAUAUGUGGAGGAACAACUGGAUGUGAUAAAACACUAUAAAAAAAAUAGAGAGAAAAAUGACAGUAGGAAAAAGACUGUAUAUAUUUUUUGAGAAUAAAAGAUAGUUUCAUUUCAUUGGUGGACAUGAGAUGAGUUGAUGCAGCAUGCAGGUGGAUACCAUUUUUUUCAAAGAAAAUAUGAACAGAGUCUCAAAUAAAUAACAAAUGUUUAUAUGUGGGUUUCAAGGACAGAGAAUAAUAAAAUAACCAAAUAUACAUAAUGUUCCAGUAAAAUGAUCCAUCAGGGCUUACAGAAAGCGUAACUAGAGAGAGACAUUAACUUGCAGAUGAUUUGUUUCUGGCUAAUGUUGUGACAGGAGUGUAGCAUUUCCUUUCUUCUCAGUUUCCUAUCUCACUUACCUUUUGAAAAGACAUGAUUCCAUAUUAUAUUUAUUCUGUUUCUCUCUUUCUUUAUUCAUUUACCCUACUUUACUGAAAAAUCUCAAACAUCAUAGAAACAUGCAUGUCUUGGUUCUCCAAGUUUGAAAGGAAAAUAAUGUAGAAAGCUCUGUUUUUUUUGCCCUGGCAUUUAUAUACUCUCCAAUCUCACUACUCCCAUAUCACUCUUCUACCUCUCUUAGAGCAAAAUUGCCUCUUAAAAAAGGACAUUGCACCCAGCAUGGUGGCUCAUGCCUGUAAUCCCACAACUUUGGGAAAUUGCGCCAGUGCACUCCAGUCUGGGAGACAGAGCGAGACUCCAUCUAAAAAAAAAAAAAAAAAAAAAGUACAUUGCUGAUUCCAUUUCAGCAUCACUCAAUUACCAUUCUCUAACUGUCUCUGAUUUGUCUUUACCAAAAGCCACAUCUGGCAUAAUUGGCAAAAGACUUUUUUUUUUUCCCCACCAUUCCAAUGAACACAAAAAUGACAUUCUCAACAUCAAAUCAAAUGAUCACAUUUUUAUUCAUAUUUUACUCCAACUGAAAUGAAGGAUAUAACUAAUUUGUCCAUUUUUCUUUAAGCACAUAUCUGUAUUCAUUUUGAUAACCCAGCACUCUUGAUUGUUCCCUUACUGAAUGUUUGUCUCUUAGUAUCCUUUGCCCAUUCUACUCCUUUAAAAAAACUGUUGCAGUAACCAAAGAGUUAUUUUUGAUUCCACUUCUUUGUCAAACUAAAGUCAGCUCUUUGAGGCUUCUGGAUUUUGAUAUUAAAUAUGUGUUUAGCAGUUCAAAUUUUAUAUAUGUAUAUUCUAGCUCAGAUCCAGAAAUCUAUUUCCUUCUUAUCAUUCUCACUUGGAUUCCUCAAGCAAUUUAACAUGCUCUAAAUAUUUCUUCCAUGUUUAUUUAGGUUUCAACUCUACAUACAGAAUAGACUAAUUUAAUAAUUUUAUACAAUCCUUGGCCUUUUACUUUAUAUGAUCUUCUACAUCCAAUAGAAGGUUGUUCAGUUAAACCUUAAAAACCUAUCGCACACUUUUUAAUUCUCUGAAUUUUCAUCAACACCACGGUAGAAACCUCCUCAAUACAGAGUUUUGUAAUAAUUGCUCUUUAAAUUCCCACCAUGAUAUGUUACUAUAUAUUCUGCUCAGAAUGAAAAGGUUCACUAUAAAACAUGGUUUAAAAAAACAAACAUUGAUUUCUCUGCUUCAGGAGUUUCCUUUCCUAUGGUAGAUGAAACUAGGUACAAUAAUUUGUUGUUUGUUUUGGAGAGCUGUCAAGGCAUGCUCCAUGGCCUCUGAAACUAGGUAGAUUGUAUCACAUACACUCCAGACCAACAUACUUGCUACUUUCUGAUUUGAUUGGAUUAACACGAUGUCAACAAUAUAGUGGAACAAUGUGAUAUUCUUGUCAGGUACAGUCUCUUUGGACUAUGUCAGACAAAUGGCAUGAGAGUUAACAUAGUCCUCGAGCUAAUUCAUAAAUGUAUAUUGUUACCAUUUUACAUAAAUGUAAUCGUUGAUGCCCUUAUUUUCUCAGAGGGGUGGGGGAAAAUUGCUAUUCCCACAUUAAUGUCUGUAUGUUAGUGAAUCUGAGUGAGUGCCAAUCUACUUGAGCAAAUAAACAUCUGGAAUAGCAGCUGUAAUUGGAUCUAUGAUUUUCUUGAAUUUGCAUUCAUUUACUUUUAUUCUCCAGAGUGCUUUUGUAAGGGUCACACUGGUAAAUCAAAAAGAGGAUGUAAUGAGGGAAUAUCACCUGUGUCAUUUUUUCAAGAAUAUCCAAUCUCAUAUUUUCCCCUGCCACACAAUACUAUAUUACUUUUGACACAAUAUGUUGAGUAGGAAGCAGCACUUAUUGAUAAUUCUACUUGCCCUUCUUCACUACUGCAGAUCUCACCCUACUAACCAAGGAACAAAUAUGAACAUUUUUUUCAGCUGACAGAAUAUAAUGUUUAUUCCAAUUAUACAUUUGUGAAAAAGGGAAGUGAAAAUAAGUCUUUUGAGCCAGUGGACCCAUUGUAAGCCCAAACUAUGCUAGGACAUUAUUUAUUACUUGAAGUCUCAUUAGCUGCAUUCUUAAAGGUGGAUCUCUUUGUAUCAAUCCUCAAAAUAUCAGGGUAUUAAAACAAUAAAAGUUAAUACUUAUUCUUUGUAUAUUUCUACUGCUGGUCCUCAAGGGGCUCUGCUCAUUGUAAUCAAAUAGGCACCAAAGGUGCAGCAGUCCCCAGCAUCUUUCCCUGUAGCCUUUGUGGUAUUGGGUAUCAGUGUUUGUCACGACGAAGGAGGACAACUUAGAGAAUUGUGCCCCUGCUGUUAGACGGAGUCUGACAAAAUCCAGACACAUAACUGUUUUAUGAGUAAAUUGCCAAUGCCAAUCACAUGAUCUAAAAUUAAUAUGGUGGGUACCAAAGGAGAGGCAGACUAUGUGUGUUAGUGAGAUCUGAUAGUGUCUGCCACAACACUUAAUAAUUUUUGGAGAAUUUUACCAUGGGCUUGACAUUUGAAUAUUCAAUUUAAACUACUUAUUUAUGAAAUAGUUAUAGGAAUAAUUAGGAACUUUAUGGCAACUCUAUGUUUUAAUUAACUUUCUAAGUGGUGAAAGAGUGAAUUAUUCAUAAAUUACUUCUGGAAACAGGACUCUUCUAAAAAGCAUGUAAGGGAACUUGAAGCAGCAUCUCAAUUUGUGCAAUAUGAUAAAGAAAAAAAACUGUGGGAUCCAGAAAACAAUACACAAUUACUUUUAUUUAUGGCUACCAGAACUUCAGGAAACCGACUAAUGUUUGUGCACAUAAUGUUUUUAUUAUGGAUCUAUCUGGGGCAUAUUGAACAUACAGUGCCCUCAAAAAUGGUCAGUUUUACUCAUGCCCAAUCCCAUAUAUUUUUUAGGGUAAUUUUUCUGGUCCAGUUAAGUUAGACCAGGACAUUUUCACUUGACAAAUCUGAGUAAACUUCUCUGGAAAAAAUUGUUUUUGACCAUUCGCCUAGAAUGAAUCUCUGGGUAAGGAAGAUGCAUAUAGUCGUAUAAUUUACUGUAGUUAUUUUGACACCUUUUCUUAACGACACACCACAGAUUUAUUGCUGGAUAUUUUUUUCCUUCCUAAGCCACUUGCCAUAUAGUUCUACUCUUCUCUAGCUCUAGGGAGGCUUCCUCAUACAGACUAGGUCAACAGAUUCCAUUCCACUGGCUCGUGGAUGGGUUUGGCUACCGAGAAGCAGUUAAGAGAAGAUCAGAAUUAUAGGGAGCAGGGAGUAGGAAAAGGUGAAGAAUUUAUUUUCCUGCUUCCCUGCUGAUCCCCUCCCAGGCUCCUACAUGUUGGUCACAUUUCUCUACCAAAUGGUAGUUCCUGUGGGGUUCUUGUAAAUUCACCUUCCUCUUUCCAUAGAGACAAAAGCUCCCUGCUUUCAUUCACCUUCGAGUACUGCAAACUUUUUUUUUUUUUUUUUUUUUCUGAGAUGGAGUCUCACUCUGUCGCCCAGGCUGGAGUGCAGUGGCACGAUCUCGACUCACUGCAAGCCCCGCCUCCCGGGUUCCCGCCAUUCUCCUGCCUCAGCCUCCCGAGUAGCUGGGACUACAGGCGUCCGCCACCAUGCCCGACUAAUUUUUUGUAUUUUUAGUAGAGACGGGGUUUCAUCGUGUUAGCCAGAAUGGUCUCGAUCUCCUGACCUCGUGAUUCGCCAGCCUCGGCCUCCCAAAGUGCUGGGAUUACAGGCGUGAGCCACCACGCCCAGCCGGGUACUGCAAACAUUUAAACAUUUUAAACGUUCCUCGAAGACAAUUUUUCCUUCCAGGACAAUGACUGAUACACCUUCUUAAGCUUACAACUGCAAAUAAGUCUCUGCCUAACAUAGCAUCUCUGCUAUACAGCCGGGAAUGUACUCCUACUCAAUGGGAUGGCUACACAAUGAAAUCAAUGAGUGACUGCACUUAAAAAAUGCCCAUUACAAUAUGAGCUAUGUCUUCCUGAAGGUGGCCUUUUAAUGUCAAAUGAGAUAAAGUAUGUAAAAAUGUUUUAUAAAUUUUAAAAUGUGAUAAAUAUUAUUUUGUGUGGAUGAUAAAUGUAGCUAUGGGUUCUAUUGACUGAAAGAUAAGCACUGCUCCUUCAUGAAUCAAACCAUUAAUUCCUGAUGGUGUUUAAUUAUUAUCGAACAUAUUUUUCUUCACAGGAGCUGUCAUUUAAAUGUGCUUGCCAACUAGCUUGUUUAUCAAAACAUUCCAGACCCUUUCAAAUUCUCAUUUACAUUGUUUCUUGUUUACCACACCCAUAAAUUUGUAUUACCAGCAUAUUUAACUAUCCGGCUAUUUUGGAGAUUGAAAAAAGAAGACCUGAUUUAUCAUGUGCAAUAUCUCACACAUCUGUCAUUUCUAUUCUACCGCAAUUCGGUGAGUUCAGCCUCUUUUUACUUCAUGUUUGAAUAAUCGCAAUAGAUUUUAUACUGUUCUCACUGCUAAACUUGCUCCCCCUAUUACCCUACAGACACUCAUAUUCAUCUUGCAUAAUACCACCAGAUUAUUCUUUGUCCAUCUAUUUUCCUAGAUAUUUGUCCUCCACUUUCCUGUCUUUUUUUCUGCACUUCAUUCUACCCAUCUUAGUGAAUAGACAUCUUUUCAACUCUCUCAGGCUAUAUAUACAUCAAUUUUUCAAAAUCCAAGUAAAACUUCACGUCCUUGAGAGAAUUUUAGAGAGCGUGUAAUACCUACAUUUUUUUUUACCAUUUAUUAGGAAUAUAUCUCAGCCCCAGUUAUGUGAUUAUUACAUAUUAUAGUAUAUUAAUGUUUGCAAACUCCUUGUAAAAUCAUACACACCCCAUACUGCUAUAUUCAUUUCAAUAGCAAAACAGUUUCUUUUCAAUUUUGUAAUAAAUAUAUUAAGAUCCUGUCCUCCUCCAGGCCAAUUUUCUUCCCCUAUAUUUAAAGUGCUCUGAUGGAGGUAACUUAUUAAUAAUUUGAGCCUAAAACAGCUUUUCAAAUAUGCAUUUCAUUUUUGCACACCAAGCUGGUGUGUGCCUGCAGGCGCUAUUUCUAUUAAGUGAACAGCUGGAUAUUGUGUAGUGGAUUGACCAGGUGUUUGAGUGAACUCAUUAGUCACCAUAUAGAAGCAACUUAAAAGAAUGAGUCACAGUGAUAGUCAUCUCACUUUGGGAAAAGGAAAAGAAAUAAAUAAAAAUGUUUCAUAUCUAUCAGACAGCCACAAAGCACAGUCCCUAUCAACAGGAGCAAAUUCAAAUAAAAAUGGCCCCACCAUACAUAUUUUAUUUGAUUUACAUCUAGCACUGAAGAUAUACUUUAUGAAUUUUUCCUUUAUUCUGACAGUCAUAAAAUAAACGGAGGUGAAUCAUAUAACUUUUGAAUAUCUACAUAGCCAGAGAUAAACUCUGCAUAUUAAAUAUCUUCCAAUAUUACAUCUACCAAAAAACAUAGCAGAGGUCAUAUUUAUGUUGCAACUGAGAAAACACUCAAAUUAUUUAAAGAGAAAAUUUAAAUACUUUACUAAAAUUCACAUUAAAUUCUGAAUUUUACAUGGGUUUAUGUGGCUCUACCAUUCAUACUGUUGAACUUCUGAGUUAUUAAUAUUUACAAAUAACCCAUGUUCUUUCAAAUGAUUCCAAUGCUUACAGAAACACAUAUAAAAGUACAUACAAUGAAAUAAAACUGUGGCAAUGUAGAAAAAUGAAAACUAUAAUAUGACAACGCAAUGAAGCCAGAGUUAAUGUGAGCACAUGAAAUGAAAUCCUAACAUUUUCUCUUCAGCUUUGUCUCUGUGUCUUACUAUGCUAAUGUAGGUAAUAAGCAGUAUUGAUAGCUGGAAGAAGUAAAUUAGCACAUGAAAAGAACCUUGAUUAUUAUUUGUGCAAUUCCUGGAGUCCACUGAUACUUACCAACUCUUAAAGCUUAGAUCUAGGGUAUCCAAACACUGCUUCCUUUCCAAGAAGGAAACAUACAAAAAAACUAAGGCAGCAUGCUCUAAUUCUUUUUUUCUUUUUUUUCUUUUUUAGAUGGAGUCUUGUUCUGUGGUCCAGGCUAGAGGGCAGUGGCAUGAUCUCGGCUCACUACAAGCUCUGCCUCCCGGGUUCACGCCAUUCUCCUGCCUCAGCCUCCUGAGUAGCUGGGACUACAGGCGCCCGCCACCACGCCUGGCUAAUUUUUUGUAUAUUUACUAGAGAUGGCUAGUGUUAGCCAAGAUGGUCUCGAUCUCCUGACCUCGUGAUCUGCCCACCUCAGCCUGCCAAAGUGCUGGGAUUACUGGCGUGAGCCACCGUGCCUGGCCAGCAUCCUCUAAUUAUUAUUCAUAGUUUGUGAAUUUAGGCCUACGUGAAUAAUAAUAUAAUAUUUACUAUGAUGUUACUAUCUACCAACCUUAUUUUUCUUUUCUAUAAAAUAGGAGCCAAAAUAAUAUUUAUGUCAUACCUUAUGAAGUUAAAAUAAAAUAUAACGAAUGAGGGGCUUAACAAUGAGUGUCAUUUUGUAAUUACUUUGUACCAUUAUUAAUUGCUGAGACAGAAUAUGGUAUCACUAGUCAUCUGUAUCUAUUGCACAACUUUAUUUUGAUUCAUUCCUUACUAUUUUGCAUAGAUAGGCCUAAAUUUUUGAUCCACUGCUCAACUCCUGUCUUUAAACCAUUGGUUCUCAAAUAGAGUUGAUUUUGACACCUAGGGAACAUUUGACAACAUAUGGAGAUAUUGUUGAUUUUACAGGGCAACCCUUCAUAAGCACAGAAUUAUCUGGCCCCAAAUGUCGACAGUGUCAAGUUCGAGAAACUCUGCACUAGGCUUUUCUGUCUGGUUACUCACCCCUCUUCUUUGCACUGCCCCCAGUUUUAUGGAUAUUGAAUUCCUGAUUUCUCACUAUAUUAAUUGCACUUAUAGAUAUUCUAAAUUGAUUUGUAUAUAUCUUCCUAGUUUGACCCAUUGCUUUUAACUGAAUUUUACUGGGCUUUUAUAAAGGCCAUUUCCAUGGAGUUUAGUCAUUAUCUUCACCAAAUUUUUAUUUGCUUCAGUCUGGGGAGGAACUCUAUAUUAAAAAAUAAAAACAAACCCAAAAACUAAUUUAUGAAAGACAUUUUAUAAUGUAAUUACUUAAACAUUUUUUUUCUUCUUUCUCAUACGAUCUUUUAAAUUCAGUGAGUGACAUGUGGUUUUCAGGCUGGGUCAGGAAGUUUGCUUGGACGGGGAAAUUCUGUCUGCUGAGACACUAGGGGAGCAAAUGCCUAUGUGGGCACAGGCUGGUCACUGACCUCCUAGGGUUCCCUGACAAUAAAUUAGUCCUAGUUGAGGUCGCCAUCAUCAGAACUUAAUUGGUCCCUGGUACUGGUGAAUCUCUGCACCACAGAGACUAAUCAGUUACAGAACUCAGCUUCUGGGCAUAGGCAACCUUUUCUGUUUUUUCAAUUUUUUGUCAGCAAAGUUGAGAAAAUGAACACACUCAAACAGCCCAUUUCUUAGCUUAUCAAUAUCCGUACCCACUUCUUUCCCUCAUCAACAUGUAUUUUCCAUAUUUUGUUGGUAUUAACCUCUGACACUCAUCCACACAAGAAAGUCUACAAAGCCUAAACUAACUUUUAAACAUUAUUUAAGGUAAUAGCUUUGUCUUCCACCAGAAACCUGGCGACAUUUUUAAAAGGAUUUGAAGAGAUAUAUACCCGAGGGACAGAGAGAAAAAUUAGUGCUGACCAGUCUGGGCCUACUUGACUAACACAAAAUAGAUUAAAUUAAUAAAAACAAGAUGUUCUGCAUUUAUAAACAUGUUAACUCUUUUUAAUGUGUAUGACUCAUUAAUGAGUUCAUAAUUAGAUUUUGAAGGAUUUCAUUCUGGACCUUGCAGAUUGUAUGUAUCUUUCUGGUAAAUUAGGAAGUAUAAUUUUUCAAUAAAAAAGCUCACUGGAAACCCCUGUAACAAGUAAUAAAUAUUUAAAAUUUGCAGAAAUGUUUACUUAUUCAAUAAAUACUGACUCCACAUUAAGAAAUGCUAGAGAUAAAGCAUUUCUAAAGGCAAAUUCUACUGUUUCCUGGUUUUACAUUCUAGAUUUUAAGACAAAGAUGGCUGCCUUGAAAUUUUAGUUAUGUGAAAGAAAUUUCGUAAUGAUAUAACUUUUUCUUACUCUGACUCUGUGAGACUUUUGUUUAUAUUUUAUGAAACUAUUUCUAUAGCACAUGUUAUAUAAAUAUAUUUGAGAAAUCAUUUUUAGCUUUCAGAAAUUAGUUUGCUUAAUACAUUUUAAUUUUAAUAAAGCUCCAUUCCUCUAGUCCUUUCAUAUCUGGAAUAUAUUUCCUAUACAAUAUCUUCUAUAUUAUUUAAUACUGCUGUUUUUUAAAAGAGAAAUUGAAACCUUUUACUCAUAUAUACCAGACUUCCAAAACUGUCUUGGUUUGAAAAUCAGUUCUCCAAAAUACUUUCUCUAACUUAACUUUAUAUCUUAGGUGCAAAUACAAUCCUGAUAAAUACUAUAGUCAGGCAUUUUAAAAACUUUAUGUUUCCCAUAUACUCAGCAGAGUAUCAUCUUCUUGCCCUUUCCCUCACUAUGGUAUCCUUCAAGAACUUAUUAGCUCAAAUUCCAAAUCCUCAAUGAAACAAUCAUCUAUCAAUUUCAUAAUUCACUGUUUUAUUCAAUAAAUAUUUAGUGAAUGAUUUCUGUGUGUCAGGAGUGUAUUGGGAGCUUGGGGACAAAGUGGUGGGCUAGAUAGGCAU